AUGAAGCCGGAAUCGCUAGUAAUCGCGCAUCAGCCACGGCGCGAUGAAUACGUUCCCGGGUCUUGUACACACCGCCCGUCAAGCCACCUGAGUUGACUGCACCCGAAACCGAUUCUUCUGACCCGCAAGGGAGGAAGGCGUCUAAGGUGUGGUUGGUGAGGAGGGCUAAGUCGUAACAAGGUAGCCGUACCGGAAGGUGCGGCUGGAUCACCUCCUUU
rnacentral:rRNA from 1 species